rnacentral:rRNA from 1 species
UACAGAGGGUGCGAGCGUUGUCCGGAAUCACUGGGCGUAAAGCGUCCGCAGGUGGCACUUCAAGUCUGUCGUCAAAGACUGGGGCUUAACCCUGGAAAGGCGGUGGAAACUGAAGCGCUAGAGUGCGGUAGGGGUAGAGGGAAUUCCCGGUGUAGCGGUGAAAUGCGUAGAGAUCGGGAAGAACAUCGGUGGCGAAAGCGCUCUACUGGACCGCAACUGACACUCAGGGACGAAAGCUAGGGGAGCGAAUGGG